UGAAAUCCUACAUGUCUUUCCUCACAUGGGAAGGGGAAAUAAAAAAUGAAAUUUCAAAUGUUACAUCGAUGAACUUUUUAUUUUUUUAACUGGAACUUCAUUGCAGGUCCCCAGCCAGGCCUGAAGAAUUAAUCGAUGAAUGAAACUACAAAGUUAAUCGUUAAGUCGAUGAUAAAACUGCAAAGUUUAUCUUCCAUGGACUGUAUAUAUUUGUUGACUCCUCUAAACCUUUAAUUUGGUGCGUGGAUUUUUUUUUAUAACAGAAACUCAGCAAUUAUGUUUGACAAAAUUUUGUCUUGUAACAGAGAACAUUCCCUCAUUAUCUUCCAUGAACUGUAUAUAUUUGUUGACUCCUCUAAACCUUUAAUUUGGUGCGUGGAUUUUUUUUAUAACAGAAACUCAGCAAUUAUGUUUGACAAAAUUUUGUCUUGUAACAGAGAACAUUCCCUCAUGUAAGUUAACAGGCUUUUUAUCCGUUGACAAUUGCUCAAGUGGAAGAAUGAGCAUGACCAUGGUUGCAUUUUAUAUUCAACUCACUUUUAUUAAUCCAUAUACCACCAAUCAUUUAACUUAAAUUUGGAAGCUUAAUUAAAAGCAUGGUUUAUGAUGAGCUUACCACAUGGGCAUAUAGUAGAAUGAUAAGUCAUAGAUUCUCUGUACCAAUAUUUUCUUGUUUCUAUUGUAUGUUGUUUAUCCUUUCAGCAUGAAAAUUCUAGUUGAAUAGAAGUCCUCUGUUUGUUUUUUCUGUUGUAAGAGCAUCUAAGAAAAUGCUUAGCAUUCUAUUUGAUGGAGGUUGCAGUUCUUUUUGUGGGGGAGAUCUAUCCAAAAGUGAUGCACAUGAAGGAUGACGCUAAGAAGCAGAAGCAGGUCGAAAGAUGAGGAAGAAACAACACGUUGGAAAAACUCAGGCCUAGAAUCCCUAUCGACUUUUCCCACAGUCAUGAGGUUUCACAACAAGAGUUGUCUUGUUAUGGUCGAGCUUCGAUAAACCUGAAGUCAACUGUUCUUUACACACAUUGCUGACAAUUGCAGAUACAAUUCUAGUAAGCAAAUCGAUAUCUUCGGCUACUGGAAGCAGAGAUUGACAACAAUGGAGGACCGAGAUGGAGUUCGUGAUGCUGGUAAAGACUGUCUCUUUGAGAUAGGAUUCAGACUGAGACUCUUAAGUUUCUGUCCGAAAUUUCUUCGGUCAUUUGGAGGUGAUGGGCUGCACAGCGAAGUGUUGCGGCGUUGGAAAUGAUGAGGUCGAUGUUGAGGCCGUAGCAGAACUUCGCGGCAAGUUCGAAGGAUUCGGGUCCUCCUGGCAUAUUCUGGAUUGUGAUUCUAGUAGGUUUUGAGUCUAUGCUUGAGUCUGAUAUCAGUUUUCGGAUCUUUCCACUCCUUGAGACUAGGGGGAACUACACGUGGAAAUGAGUAUAGGUCAGAACCAAAAUAUCUGCAAUUACUGGACCAAUUGGAAAGGAGUGUGCUGAUUUGUGGCCUACGAUUGCUAGUGCAGCCAAUGCCAUUGUGUAAUAUCCAGAUUUUUCUUCAGGUGUCAGUGAGGAGUAGUAGUUUCAUUUUAUUUGUUAUUGAAAAGAAAAGAGAGUUUUUUAAAUAUGGAUCCAUAUUUGUAUUGAAAGUUUUUGUUUUCCUGUGACGUACAUAUAUUGGAAUUGAUAUUCUGUGAUCCAGCUGAUGGUA